UCGCCUGUUUAUCAAAAACAUCACCUCUAGCAUUACAAGUAUUAGAGGCACUGCCUGCCCAGUGACUAAAGUUAAACGGCCGCGGUAUCCUGACCGUGCAAAGGUAGCAUAAUCACUUGUUCCUUAAUUAGGGACUAGAAUGAACGGCCAAACGAGGGUCCAACUGUCUCUUAUUUUUAAUCAGUGAAAUUGACCUUCCAGUGAAGAGGCUGGAAUAAAACAAUAAGACGAGAAGACCCUAUGGAGCUUCAAUUUAUUAGUUUAAUAUAUAUAUAUAUACUUCCCCUAAUGGCGCAAUAAAAUAUAAUUGUAAACUAAAAAUUUUGGUUGGGGUGACCUCGGAGAACAAAAAAACCUCCGAAUGAUUCUAACUUAGACAUACCCGUCAAAGUAAACAAAAAUCUUAUUGACCCAAAAUUCAUUUGAUCAACGGACCAAGUUACC
rnacentral:rRNA from 1 species